GAUGAACGCUGGCGGCGUGCCUAAUACAUGCAAGUCGAGCGAACAGAUGAGGAGCUUGCUCCUCUGACGUUAGCGACGGACGGGUGAGUAACACGUGGAUAACCUACCUAUAAGACUGGGAUAACUUCGGGAAACCGGGGCUAAUACCGGAUAAUAUAUUGAACCGCAUGGUUCAAUAGUGAAAGACGGUUUUGCUGUCACUUAUAGGUGGAUCGGGGCCGCAUUAGCUUGUUGGUAAGGUAACGGCUUACCAAGGCAACGAUGCGUAGCCGACCUGAGAGGGUGAGCGGCCACACUGGAACGGAGACACGGUCCAGACUACUACGGGAGGCAACAGAAGGGAAUCUUCCGCAGUGGGCGAAACCCUGAUGGAGCAACGCCGCGUGGGUUAUAAAGGUCUUCGGAUCGUAAAACUCUGUUAUUAGGGAAGAACAAAUGUGUAAGUAACUAUGCACGUCUUGAAGGUACCUAAUCAGAAAGCCACGGCUAACUACGUG
rnacentral:rRNA from 1 species